rnacentral:rRNA from 1 species
UGGGGAAUUUUGGACAAUGGGCGAAAGCCUGAUCCAGCAAUGCCGCGUGUGUGAAGAAGGCCUUCGGGUUGUAAAGCACUUUUGUCCGGAAAGAAAUCCUUGGCUCUAAUACAGUCGGGGGAUGACGGUACCGGAAGAAUAAGCACCGGCUAACUACGUGCCAGCAGCCGCGGUAAUACGUAGGGUGCAAGCGUUAAUCGGAAUUACUGGGCGUAAAGCGUGCGCAGGCGGUUUGCUAAGACCGAUGUGAAAUCCCCGGGCUCAACCUGGGAACUGCAUUGUGACUGGCAGGCUAGAGUAUGGCAGAGGGGGGUAGAAUUCCACGUGUAGCAGUGAAAUGCGUAGAGAUGUGGAGGAAUACCGAUGGCGAAGGCAGCCCCCUGGGCCAAUACUGACGCUCAUGCACGAAAGCGUGGGGAGCAAAGCAGGAUUAGAUACCCUGGUAGUCCACGCCCUAAACGAUGUCAACUAGUUGUUGGGGAUUCAUUUCCUUAGUAACGUAGCUAACGCGUGAAGUUGACCGCCUGGGGAGUACGGUCG